rnacentral:rRNA from 1 species
GACGAGCGCUGGCGGCGUCUUAACACAUGCAAGUCGAACGAUGAAGCCUAGCUUGCUAGGUGGAUUAGUGGCGAACGGGUGAGUAAUACGUGAGUGACCUACCUUUGACUCUGGGAUAAGCCUGGGAAACUGGGUCUAAUACCGGAUACGACCAAUCUCCGCAUGGGGUGUUGGUGGAAAGCGUUAUGGAGUGGUUUUAGAUGGGCUCACGGCCUAUCAGCUUGUUGGUGAGGUAAUGGCUUACCAAGGCGACGACGGGUAGCCGGCCUGAGAGGGUGACCGGCCACACUGGGACUGAGACACGGCCCAGACUCCUACGGGAGGCAGCAGUGGGGAAUAUUGCACAAUGGGCGCAAGCCUGAUGCAGCGACGCCGCGUGAGGGAUGACGGCCUUCGGGUUGUAAACCUCUGUUAGCAUCGAAGAAGCGAAAGUGACGGUAGGUGCAGAGAAAGCGCCGGCUAACUACGUG